rnacentral:tRNA from 1 species
AGACAGUUAGUCCAGUUUAAGACCUUUGAUUUCGGCUCAAAAAAUCAUGGUUAAAGCCCAUGACUGCCUU